rnacentral:lncRNA from 1 species
ACAGAUUCUGAUCCAGAAGAGUAAUUUUUCCUGUUGCUUCUUGAAGAAUGCAAUUAUCAUCAAGGUUCCAAGUGCCAUCAAUUGAGGAUGAGAAAUAGAAAGAAAAUACAUGGCAUAUAGUAUGUGACAUAAAUAGUUUACCUCAGAAUUAAAAGAAGGAAGAAGGAAAGAAGAAAGAAAACAAAGGGGAGAGAAAGGAAGACAUCUAUAUUUGAUUUAGAGCAUCAUUACCCUUCAUAAAGAAGCUGCAUAUGUACCAUUUCAUACAUAUAAUAGGAAUAAAUUAUCCAUUGGACUAAAUGGAAUAAGAUCCCUUCCAAAUAAGCUCCUAUUUCAUACAAGUUGAUCUGCAGAAGAAACAGACAACACCAAGGAUAAACAUAGCAACAG